rnacentral:rRNA from 1 species
CCGCUGAACUUAAGCAUAUCAAUAAGCGGAGGAAAAGAAACCAACAGGGAUUGCCCUAGUAACGGCGAGUGAAGCGGCAACAGCUCAAAUUUGAAAUCUGGCUCUUUUAGAGUCCGAGUUGUAAUUUGCAGAGGGCGCUUUGGCUUUGGCAGCGGUCCAAGUUCCUUGGAACAGGACGUCACAGAGGGUGAGAAUCCCGUACGUGGUCGCUGGCUAUUGCCGUGUAAAGCCCCUUCGACGAGUCGAGUUGUUUGGGAAUGCAGCUCUAAAUGGGAGGUACAUUUCUUCUAAAGCUAAAUAUUGGCCAGAGACCGAUAGCGCACAAGUAGAGUGAUCGAAAGAUGAAAAGCACUUUGGAAAGAGAGUCAAACAGCACGUGAAAUUGUUGAAAGGGAAGCGCUUGCAGCCAGACUUGCUUACAGUUGCUCAUCCGGGUUUCUACCCGGUGCACUCUUCUGUAGGCAGGCCAGCAUCAGUUUGGGCGGUAGGAUAAAGGUCUCUGUCACGUACCUCCUUUCGGGGAGGCCUUAUAGGGGAGACGACAUACUACCAGCCUGGACUGAGGUCCGCGCAUCUGCUAGGAUGCUGGCGUAAUGGCUGUAAGCGGCCCGUCUUGAAACACGGACCAAGGAGUCUAACAUCUAUGCGAGUGUUUGGGUGUCAAGCCCGAGCGCGUAAUGAAAGUGAACGGAGGUGGGAACCCGCAAGGGUGCACCAUCGACCGAUCCUGAUGUCUUCGGAAGGAUUUGAGUAAGAGCAUGGCUGUUGGGACCCGAAAGAUGGUGAACUAUGCUUGAAUAGGGUGAAGCCAGAGGAAACUCUGGUGGAGGCUCGCAGCGGUUCUGACGUGCAAAUCGAUCGUCAAAUUUGGGCAUAGGGGCGAAAGACUAAUCGAACUAUCUAGUAGCUGUCUGC